ACCUUUCUCCAAACAACGUUGCCACACGCGGAGAGCACGGAGAUUUCUGGGGCUUUGGAGGGAAUCGUGAGCGGGCGGGAGGAGGCCGGGGACCACACAGAACUGAGAUCCAGAGAGAUGAUGACUUUGCCCAUAGACCAAACAAAGAAAUACAUGUUUCAGUCCUGUGUCCUCCUGCUAUGUGUGUCCGGAAUUGGUGGGUUCUUGGUCUCACUGACUUCAAGAAUGAAGCUGCGGACCCUCGCGGACCGUGUGUGAAUGCCUGCUCUGUGAGCCCUCAGAAUCUACUGGCUGAAUGAGUGCGUGGAGGAAAUGUGCUCAGAGCUGCUGUGUGUCAUCCUGUGUUUGAAGUGCUCCUGCAGCUAUCAUUCAUCCAGUUAAGAAUUUGAAGAAGUGUGUGCACAAAGGCACCGGAAAAUAUGCACAUUAUGCUGGAGCAUUAGAAUGCAACAGAAAGAGCCCUGGGCUUGGAGUAUGCAGAACUGGUUCUUGUUACAACUCCUCUUACUAGUGGGCUCUGGAAGAAAACACAUUGAAUUCAUGAUCAUGGUUAACCUUUGGAGAGAGAGAGGAGACCAGGAUGAAGGAGCCAGUCGAAGAUCCUGUUCAAGUGUACACUGAGCCAGCAGGUUCACCAGAAAGCUAUUGAGCGUUUGCUGGAACACAUUAUGCAGGGUGAAUUUCUUCUGGAAUGUUGCCAAGGAUUUUUUAUGCUUCUGUGGCAGGCAUUUCUUGAACAUUGUCAUUUAGCCAAGCAAAGAAGAUUUUCUUAAAGGAUAGAAAAUGUUUAAAAAUUUUUGUUUGUUUGAAGAUAGGUUAAAUGGCUAUAUGAUCUCAGGAUAAGACAGAGAAAAUCACUUAUUUCUCUAAGUGAUCUGAUUAGGUUAGUGAUGUUUUGCCUUUAAACAGAUUCAUCAUUAUUCCUAAAGUAUUGCUGUAUUAAUACUGUCUUCUAGAAAGUAUCCACCAGUGCCUACUUUUCUUCGAUAUCAUUAGCUGUUUUUCGAAACUGAAUUUGCUCUUCAGAGAUUUCUCAUAUGUUUGCGUAUAAGGAACUACUGGUAAUAGCCAAGAAAAUUUGGAGGUGCAGAGAACAUGCUGAAACAGAAUUUUUCACUUUCAAUUCUAGAACUAUGCCAUAAAAAAAAA
rnacentral:lncRNA from 1 species